rfam:Pantoea vagans C9-1, complete genome.
CCUGGCGGCUUUAGCGCGGUGGUCCCACCUGACCCCAUGCCGAACUCAGAAGUGAAACGCCGUAGCGCCGAUGGUAGUGUGGGGUCUCCCCAUGCGAGAGUAGGGAACUGCCAGGC